rnacentral:rRNA from 1 species
GACGAACGCUGGCGGCGUGCCUAAUACAUGCAAGUCGAACGCAGUGGGGACGGGUGAGUAGCACGUGGGUAACCUACCAUAAGAGGGGAUAACACUUGGAAACAGGUGCUAAACCGAGACUGAUGGAUGGACCCGCGGUGCAUGAGCUAGUUGGGGAGGUAACGGCUAACCAAGGCCACGAUGCAUAGCCGGCCGGAUAGGGUGAUCGGCCACACGUGGACGGAGACACGGCCCAGACUCCUACGUGAGGCAGCAGUAGGGAAUCUUCGGCAAUGGACGAAAGUCUGACCGAGCAACUCCGCGUGAGUGAAGAAGGUUUUCGGAUCGUAAAACUCUGUUGUUAGAGAAGCGGUAUCUAACCAGAAAGCCACGGCUAACUACGUGCCAGCAGCCGCGGUAAUAC